GAUGAACGCUGGCGGCGUGCCUAAUACAUGCAAGUCGAGCGAACGGACGAUAAGCUUGCUUUUCUGAUGUUAGCGGCGGACGGGUGAGUAACACGUGGAUAACCCAGCUAUAAGACUGGGAUAACUUCGGGAAACCGGAGCUAAUACCGGAUAAUAUUUUGAACCGGAUGGUUCAAAAGUGAAAUACGGUUUUGCUGACACCUAUAGAUGUAUCCGCGCUGGAUUAGUUAGUUGGUAAGGUAACGGCUUACCAAGGCAACGAUGCAUAGCUGACCUGGGAGGGUGAUCGGCCACACUGGAAGUGAGACACGGUCCAGACUCCUAGGGGAGGCAGCAGUAGGGAAGCUUCCGCGAUGGGCGGAAGCCUGACGGAGCAACGCCGCGUGAGUGAUGAAGGUCUUCGGAUCGUAAAACUGUGUUAUUAGGGAAGAACAUUUGUGUAAGUAACUGUGCACAUCUUGACGGUACCUAAUCAAAAAGCCACGGCUAACUACGUG
rnacentral:rRNA from 1 species